GACGAACGCUGGCGGCGUGCCUAAUACAUGCAAGUAGACCUUAGUGGCGAACGGGUGAGUAACAAGUGGGUAACCUGCCCAUCAGAAGGGGAUAACACUUGGACACAGGUGCUAAUACCGUAUACUGAUGGAUGGACCUGCGUUGCAUUAGUUAGUUGGUGAGGUAACGGCUCACCAAGGCCACGUUGCAUAGCGGCCCUGAGAGGGUGAUCGGCCACAUUGGGACUGAGAGACGGCCCAAACUCCUACGGGAGGCAGCAGUAGGGAAUCUUCGGCAAUGGACGAAAGUCUAACCAAGCAACGCCGCGUGAGUGAAGAAGGUUUUCGGUUCGUAAAACUCUGUUGUUAGAGAAGCGGUAUCUAACCAGAAAGCCACGGCUAACUACGUGCCAGCAGCCGCGGUAAGAC
rnacentral:rRNA from 1 species